rnacentral:rRNA from 1 species
GAUCAUGGCUCAGGAUGAACGCUAGCUACAGGCUUAACACAUGCAAGUCGAGGGGCAGCACAGUGUAGCAAUACAUGGGUGGCGACCGGCGCACGGGUGCGUAACGCGUAUCCAACCUUCCCGAUACUCUUGGAUAGCCUUCCGAAAGGGAGAUUAAUACAAGAUGGUGUUUCAGUUUCGCAUGUUAUUGAAACUAAAGAUUUAUCGGUAUCGGAUGGGGAUGCGUGACAUUAGAUAGUAGGCGGGGUAACGGCCCACCUAGUCUACGAUGUCUAGGGGUUCUGAGAGGAAGGUCCCCCACACUGGAACUGAGACACGGUCCAGACUCCUACGGGAGGCAGCAGUGAGGAAUAUUGGUCAAUGGUCGGAAGACUGAACCAGCCAAGUAGCGUGAAGGAUGAAGGUUCUAUGGAUUGUAAACUUCUUUUAUACGGGAAUAAAACCUCCCACGUGUGGGAGCUUGUAUGUACCGUAUGAAUAAGCAUCGGCUAACUCCGUG